rnacentral:tRNA from 1 species
GGGGGUGUAGCUCAGUGAUAGAGCGCUCGCUUUGCAUGCGAGAAGUCCCGGGUUCGAACCCCGGCUCCUCCA